UCUGAAAGAUUAUGACGUGGGCCAAGGAGGAGCAAGAGAAGUGUCUGUGUUUAUCCAGCAAUGAUCAAAAGUGGAGUAAGUAGGAAGACUGAAAGCAUCUUCUUUCAUCCUUCCCCCGCCCUCCAACCCCAGUAACUGCAAGAGGAUAAAAUCAGACAGUGGUUUUGUAAUUCAGAGACAGAGAAGAAUUCUCAAGUGAACUUGUGUACUCCCAAAAUAGAUAAGUACCAAGG